rnacentral:miRNA from 1 species
UUCAAAUGAUCGUAACUUUGGCCU